rfam:Papio anubis isolate 1X1155 chromosome 9, whole genome shotgun sequence.
GGCAGUAUAUCGAGGUGGUGAAGAUCAUGGAUUCUGGAACCAGAACGCCCAGGUUUAAAUCCUGGCACUACCA